CGUGUAGGCGGGAAUGCAAGUCAGAUGUGAAAUACCGAGGCUUAACCUCGGGGCUGCAUCUGAAACUGUGUUUCUUGAGUGUCGGAGAGGAAAGUGGAAUUCCCAGUGUAGCGGUGAAAUGCGUAGAUAUUGGGAGGAACACCAGUGGCGAAGGCGACUUUCUGGACGAUAACUGACGCUGAGGCGCGAAAGCGUGGGGAGCAAACAGGAUUAGAUACCCUGGUAGUCCACGCUGUAAACGAUGGAUACUAGGUGUAGGAGGUAUCGACCCCUUCUGUGCCGGAGUUAACACAAUAAGUAUCCCACCUGGGGAGUACGGCCGCAAGGUUGAA
rnacentral:rRNA from 1 species